rnacentral:rRNA from 1 species
UACGAAGGGGGCUAGCGUUGCUCGGAAUGACUGGGCGUAAAGGGCGCGUAGGCGGAUGGCACAGUCAGAUGUGAAAUUCCCGGGCUUAACCUGGGGGCUGCAUUUGAUACGUGUUGUCUUGAGUUCGGAAGAGGGUCGUGGAAUUCCCAGUGUAGAGGUGAAAUUCGUAGAUAUUGGGAGGAACACCGGUGGCGAAGGCGGCGACCUGGUCCGACACUGACGCUGAGGCGCGAAAGCGUGGGGAGCAAACAGG